AACGAACGUUGGCGGCGUGGAUUAGGCAUGCAAGUCGAACGAGAAAGCUUCCUUCGGGAAGUGAGUACAGUGGCGAACGGGUGAGUAACGGGUGGGAAACCUGCCUUGAAGUGGGGGAUAACAUUCCUAACGGGGUGCUAAUACCGCAUACUUCGAUGAAUCGCAUGGUUCAUCGGCAAAGAGGGCCUCUGAAUAUGCUCUCGCUUUGAGAUGGUCCCGCCUCCCAUUAGCUUGUUGGUGGGGUAAAAGCCUACCAAGGCGACGAUGGGUAGCCGGCCCGAGAGGGUGUCCGGCCACACUGGGACUGAGAUACGGCCCAG
rnacentral:rRNA from 1 species